UCCGGUUGAUCCUGCCGGAGGCCAUUGCUAUCGGAGUCCGAUUUAGCCAUGCUAGUUGCACGAGUUUAGACUCGUAGCAUAUAGCUCAGUGACACGUGGCCAAACUACCCUACAGACCGCCAUAACCUCGGGAAACUGAGGCCAAUAGCGGAUAUUACUCUCAUGCUGGAGUGCCGAGAGUGAGAAACGUUCCGGCGCUGUAGGAUGUGGCUGCGGCCGAUUAGGUAGACGGUGGGGUAACGGCCCACCGUGCCAAUAAUCGGUACGGGUUGUGAGAGCAAGAGCCCGGAGACGGAAUCUGAGACAAGAUUCCGGGCCCUACGGGGCGCAGCAGGCGCGAAACCUUUACACUGCACGCGAGUGCGAUAGGGGGACUCCGAGUGCGAGGGCAUACAGUCCUCGCUUUUCUGUACCGUAAGGUGGUACAGGAACAAGUGCUGGGCAAGACCGGUGCCAGCCGCCGCGGUAAUACCGGCAGCACGAGUGAUGGCCGAUCUUAUUGGGCCUAAAGCGUCCGUAGCCGGCCGGACAAGUCCGUUGGGAAAUCCACGUGCUCAACGCGUGGGCGUCCAGCGGAAACUGUCUGGCUUGGGGCCGGAAGACCUGAGGGGUACGUCCGGGGUAGGAGUGAAAUCCCGUAAUCCUGGACGGACCACCGGUGGCGAAAGCGCCUCAGGAAGACGGACCCGACGGUGAGGGACGAAAGCUAGGGUCUCGAACCGGAUUAGAUACCCGGGUAGUCCUAGCUGUAAACGAUGCUCGCUAGGUGUGCCGCAGGCUACGAGCCUGCGCUGUGCCGUAGGGAAGCCGUGAAGCGAGCCGCCUGGGAAGUACGUCUGCAAGGAUGAAACUUAAAGGAAUUGGCGGGGGAGCACUACAACCGGAGGAGCCUGCGGUUUAAUUGGAUUCAACGCCGGA
rnacentral:rRNA from 1 species